rnacentral:rRNA from 1 species
CGGCCGAUGUCUGAUUAGCUAGUUGGUGGGGUAAAGGCCCACCAAGGCGACGAUCAGUAGCUGGUCUGAGAGGACGAUCAGCCACACUGGGACUGAGACACGGCCCAGACUCCUACGGGAGGCAGCAGUGGGGAAUUUUGGACAAUGGGGGCAACCCUGAUCCAGCAAUGCCGCGUGUGUGAAGAAGGCCUUCGGGUUGUAAAGCACUUUUGUCCGGAAAGUGACGGUACCGGAAGAAUAAGCACCGGCUAACUACGUGCCAGCAGCCGCGGUAAUACGUAGGGUGCGAGCGUUAAUCGGAAUUGCUGGGCGUAAAGCGUGCGCAGGCGGUUUUGUAAGACAGGCGUGAAAUCCCCGGGCUUAACCUGGGAAUUGCGCUUGUGACUGCAAGGCUAGAGUGCGUCAGGGGGGUAGAAUUCCACGUGUAGCAGUGAAAUGCGUAGAG